CGUGGUGGUUGUAUCGUUCAUCCACGAGUGAACAAUUAUUCAGUUUUUAGAAGUUUUAAUUCUGUUUCGCGGUUAAGCAAUAAUAAAAUUAGUGACAUAAGUGUUUUUAAAACGAUGGACAAUGAUUUUUGGCGACAUAGUAGCAUUUGUAGCAGAAAAAUAAAAAUUCCGAGCAAUUAUCGGACUUCAAGGAACAGGAGGGGUUUCAACGCUAUUUAUUUAUCAUUUUUAUGGGUUCAACACUGUCCACCAAUUAUAAUUCCAUUUCUUCUUAUUAAGCUCUUAAAUCUUCUUUCAGUAUGCCACUUGCUAUUUUCGAUUUCAAUGUUUUAUUUAUAAUCCAUUUUGGAUUUUAGACUAUAAAGCCCUUUACCUGUUUCACUAAAGUUCAAUUUUAAUCACCAAUCAUUAACCCAAAUGUUCCUUGAAAGUGUUUAAGAUAACAUUUACCCCAUAACAAGUGCUCAAGUGUGUAUAGUGUGACAUUCGCACUAUUUUGUCUUCCAAUUCAAAUUUGCUGGAAAGAAUAAGACCUCCACACCCUGGACUAAUCUCGCAGCGUGUCAUCCACUGC